AGAAAUCUGAAUCACUUGCACUGUAUCUUUAAUCUCUUUAUUAAAGGAAGUUUAAUAAAGAGAUUAAAGAUACAGUGCAAGUGAUUCAGAUUUCUUU